GGUGCAGCUAAAAAGACUGGACAAUGUGUUAGUCAAUCUUACCAGCCAGUGGGGAAUGGCUCUUUCUUGAAUCCCUCUCAAUUACAUCUGAUAAAAUCAGAUAUGCAGUUGACAUGCCACAGUUGGCUACUAUUUGGUUGGAGCACAAGGAUUCCUUAGCUGGUAAUUGUGUGAUUGAGUAAAAGCUUGAUCCUUUAAUAGAUCUGAUAACUGCAAAGUGACACCUUUGAAGAUGUAGCAACACCAUCAGAUCAGACCAGCACAAAUGCAUUGGUUCAAUCUGACACAGAAGACAAUUCUGCUCUACAACCCUUUUUCUUUUGCUUUUUGUCAUGCUGCGUAACUUUUUGUGAUAAAGACCAUUCUAUGUUUUUGUAAUGCUAGCGGUCCAUGAAGAACAAUGUUAUAUAUGCUGUGUGCAUAUAACCAGCGGUUGUUAGGAGCAUUCUCUAUGU